UGGGGAAUUUUGCACAAUGGAGGAAACUCUGAUGCAGCGACGCCGCGUGAGUGAUGAAGAUCUUCGGAUUGUAAAACUCUUUCCUUAGUGAAGAUAAUGACAGUAACUAAGAAGCAAGCCCUGGCUAAAUACGUGCCAGCAGCCGCGGUAAUACGUAUGGGGCAAGCGUUGUCCGGAAUUAUUGGGCGUAAAGGGUACGUAGGCGGUUUAAUAAGUCCUAAUUAAAAGGCUAUGGCUCAACCAUAGUAUGGUUAGGAAACUGUUGAACUUGAGUAGAUGAGGGGAAAGUGGAAUUCCAUGUGUAGCGGUGAAAUGCGUAGAUAUAUGGAGGAACACCAAUGGCGAAGGCAACUUUCUGGAAUCAAACUGACGCUGAGGUACGAAGGCGUGGGGAGCAAACAGG
rnacentral:rRNA from 1 species